UCUAAGCAUCUAAGAUCGAAGGAUCGUUUUUAAGACAAUCGGAUACAGAACAUUUUACAAACGGACAUGUUUAUAAAGAUAUGCAGGACUACAAAAUGGACAAGAUCUUCUGCAUCACUGCUCCGCACCUCUUUUUCUAAAGCCAUUAUCUGUGUUUGUCUUGUAUUUAAAAGUGUAAAAAUUCAUAAAUGGAUGUAAUGCUU
rnacentral:lncRNA from 1 species